GAUGAACGCUGGCGGCGUGCCUAAUACAUGCAAGUCGAGCGAACGGACGAGAAGCUUGCUUCUCUGAUGUUAGCGGCGGACGGGUGAGUAACACGUGGAUAACCUACCUAUAAGACUGGGAUAACUUCGGGAAACCGGAGUUAAUACCGGAUGAUAUUUUGAACCGCAUGGUUCAAAAGUGAAAGACGGUCUUGCUGUCACUUAUAGAUGGAUCCGCGCUGCAUUAGCUAGUUGGUAAGGUAACGGCUUACCAAGGCAACGAUGCAUAGCCGACCUGAGAGGGUGAUCGGCCACACUGGAACUGAGACACGGUCCAGACUCCUAAGGGAGGCAGCAGUAGGGAAUCUUCCGCAAUGGGCGAAAGCCUGACGGAGCAACGCCGCGUGAGUGAUGAAGGUCUUCGGAUCGUAAAACUCUGUUAUUAGGGAAGAACAUAUGUGUAAGUAACUGUGCACAUCUUGACGGUACCUAAUCAGAAAGCCACGGCUAACUACGUG
rnacentral:rRNA from 1 species